rnacentral:misc_RNA from 1 species
GAAUUUCAUGUGCUUGAUAUGCCUGGUCCUAAGACCGUCAUCCUCUGGGAUAGACUGCAAAAUUGGCUUAAUGUAGCCAAAGGUCUGGCUUCUACUGAAGAAGCUAAGGACUUUAAGUUGGACCUUCUAAAAGAUGAGAUUGUAUUGUUGGAAAAGAAUCUUGCUGGCAAUCAUCUAAGCACGGGAUGCUGCCACAACGACU